CCCUUCCGGCGCCGGGCGGACGCUGCGGCCCUCCCCGGGGCGGAGCUCCGCGGUUGCGGCCUCGGCGAGGGUUUGUCCUCGUGUUCCUCCCAGCCUCAGAGCCCUGGGGAUGCCAGCAGCUGUCAGUCUCCGUUGUUGGAUGUGGAAAUGUUUGCUUGAACCAAAAGCAGCAUCGAAGUCCUUCACGUUGCUGUAUCCGGGGGGGGGGAAGGUGGGUUGGGUGAGCACUGCAGCCACAGCCGGACCCCGCAAUGGGGCUCAAGGGAUGCGAUGGGGCUCUGUGCUUCAAGAUGAGCAAACCAGGCUCUGUGUUUCCCAUCUGGACCCGGAGCCAAAGACAUGCAGCAGUCAGGGCUGUGAUUCAGUGCUUUGGGGUGCAGGGAGAAGACGGUCAGCUGCCCAUGCUGAGCACCCCACAGCCACACACACAGUGUAGAUGGAGCCCAACGCAGCCCCGAGAACACACGCGACAAAGAAAUGACCUGCCAUUUUCUGGUUUGGUAAUCUUUAUGUAGAUAUUUAACCCUACACCCUUAUCAAACGUAUGGCAUGAGCUCUACCAACUAAAAAAUAAAAUAAAAUAAAAUCAUCAA